rnacentral:tRNA from 2 species
AGGGCUUUAGCUUAAUUAAAGUGUCUGUUUUGCAUACAUAGGAUGUGGGUUAGUGUCCCGCAAGUCUUA